AGGGUUUCUUAGUAUUGAUUUUUCAUCAAGAAAAUCUUCUCAAUCUCCAUCUCCAUGCCUUCUCUCUCUCAUAUUCUUCUUUUCCAUGCCCAAAGGUUGGGUGUUCUCUCUUCUACAUGCCUAGAAGGAGUUCUGGUGACUUAGAGAUCAAGGAUCGAGAGAAGAAGAAGAAGGCUGCAGAUCAAGAAUUUGAUCUCUCAAUUAAGAUCAAAAGAGUUGAUCAGAAUCCUCAAGGCCAAGAUUCUUCUUGAGAAGAAGAAUCUUCUACGAGAAGAAAAAUUCAAGAUUGAUU
rnacentral:lncRNA from 1 species